CUCACCUGCUUAAGAAACUAAAAACAUCCAAACAAAAAUCAAAAGCUAAAACUUUAAUCUACACUAAUAAUGAAUGAUGAAUCUAGUAUCUACACAACAAAAUCUUUGUGUUUCAUACUGUUUGCUAUCCCUUCUAAAGGCAAUUACCCAGGCCUUUAAUAUCCAAGUCUGAAAGCCUUUGAAAAGAGAGUCAAAGCAAGUAUCUCAGGUUACUUAAGGCAAAACAACUAGUGACAAAUUCUUUCAAUCAUAAACUUGAAUAGUUAAUAGGGCCAAAACUUCAGCAGUUAGACAUCAACUAAUACGUUCUUCAAAGUUAAAUGAAUAAAAGGCUAACCAGUUGUGAACUUGAAUUUAUUAAAGUGAGACAAGUCACUAUGGUUUUACGUUUUUCUUCAGUCAUGGUCUGGUAGCUGCUCAGGGAUAGGUGCCUUGUAAGCUGAGACGUGGGUUUUUGCCAGGGAGGUACAACAGUACAGGAAUGGGGCAAGGUAUAUGCAGUGGGAUGAUUAUGACAAAUCACAGAUUUAAGCCAGGGAAACAGAGAUGUGAGGAUGUGGAAGUAUGAGGCAAGAUGAAAAAUGUGGAUAGGCCUAUGGAUUAGAGGACCUGGUGUGGCCAAAUAAUUGCUGGAGUUGUUACCAGACAGAGGGAACCAGAAAGGUGAAAUGUCAUGGCUGGAAAAUGAGAUGCUCAACAUUGUGACUUUGGAGGGGGACAUUGACAGCAGAAUCAUCCUUUACAGGUCGCAAAGGACUAAAAUCUCAGCUCACCCAAUUUACAUUCCGGCAUCAUCAUCAGAUUAGCCUGAGGGGUGUUUCUCAACAGCACAAUACCGGGCUUUGAGGAAGUCAGGGACCCCAAACAGAGGGACUAGCUGAAGCCAUG
rnacentral:lncRNA from 1 species